rnacentral:rRNA from 1 species
CUAAGGUUUAACCUGCCCAUUGAUUAUUUUAACGGCCGCAGUAUUUUGACUGUGCAAAGGUAGCAUAAUCAUUAGUUUUUUAAUUGAAAGCUUGUAUGAAUGGUUGGACGAGAUAUGAACUGUCUUUGAAUUAUAAUUAGAAUUUAAUUUUUAAGUUAAAAAGCUUAAAUAAAUUUAAAAGACGAGAAGACCCUAUAGAUCUUUAUAUAUAUAAAAAUUUAAUUUUUAAGGAUUAUUAAAUUUUAUAUUUUUUUAUUUAUUUAAUUGGGGUAAUAGAAAGAUUUAAUUAAUUCUUUUUAUUUUAAACAUUGAUAAAUGAUUUUAAUGAUCCAUUAUUAUUGAUUAUAAGAUUAAGUUACCUUAGGGAUAACAGCGUAAUUUUUUUUGAGAGUUCUUAUUGAUAAAAAAGUUUACGACCUCGAUGUUGGAUUAAAGUUAAUUUUGGGUGUAGGAGUUCAAAGUUUUAGUCUGUUCGACUAUUAAAAUUUUACAUGAUCUGAGUUCAAACCGGUGUAAGCCAGGUUGGUUUCUAUCUUUAAUUAAUUAAUAUAUUUUAGUACGAAAGGACCAAAUAUUUGAUGUGUAAUAUUUUAAAAUUUGAAUAAAA